UCUACGAGGGAACGUGCGUACGAUUAUUAAUCGAUGACGGGAGAAGAGCUCGAGGGCGUGCGCUCUAUACAAGCUGCAGUCGCUGUCGCAUGUUAUCUAGAUGCGGCUGAACACCCCGCACGUACGCUCGCGGAACGAUAGCGUUAACGAUGGAGUUACGAGCCAGACUUUUGCAUUCGCGAUAUCCAUUAUCGCGCAUACUCGGAUAUAUUUAUGUAUAACGAGGCAGGGAACAAGCGCAAGGUUACGUUUAUGCAAAUUACGCGGUGAUUAGAAAAAAAAACAUUCGAUUACGCAAGCGUUAUAUAUUAAUUUUCGUUGAAGUAACGACAGCAACGGCCGUAUGUACGAUAUAUCGAGUGACGAUGAAACGUGUAUUUACAUGCAUAUCCGUAUGCAUCUACACGCGCGAGCUUAUUCACGAUUGCGAACCGACGAAAAUUGGCUCGGGCUGACAAUACGUUGAGAUUUUUCAGCGUUAGUCAUUCGUCGAAAUCUUUCUGAGAAUAAGCGACUAUAUAGAUAACGCGGCAGAUGUCAAACGCUGUGAAGCAUAAUGUGCGGAAAACUUUCCGCGGUAAUCAACGGAAUGAAAGGAGAUCGCUUCGUCGUUCGAUAAUGGCCAAUCGUUAUGGGCACCGCAAACACCUGCGCGUAAAAGCCUCGUGGUUGCCGCUUGCAAAUUUGGCUCGCAUUUGACGGCACUAAAAUUAAAUCCGACCUAAAUGUUCCGCAUUCAGUUUAGGGACACAAGUGACUCGAAGACGUGGUGAUUAUUUUAAUAAUUUUCGAAUUGAUUUGCUGAGAAUAACACAAACUUUGACUUGUGUUAGACGAUGGACCCAAUUAUGAGUCAAAUUUUCAAAAUUAAAUACUUUACAGAUGUACGUAUAUUAAUAAAUUACAAAAAAUGUUUU